rnacentral:rRNA from 1 species
GUGCCUACGGGGGGCAGCAGUGGGGAAUAUUGCACAAUGGGGGAAACCCUGAUGCAGCGACGCCGCGUGAGUGAAGAAGUAAUUCGUUAUGCAAAGCUCUAUCAGCUGGGAAGAAAAUGACGGUACCUGAGUAAGAAGCCCCGGCUAACUACGUGCCAGCAGCCGCGGUAAUACGUAGGGGGCAAGCGUUAUCCGGAUUUACUGGGUGUAAAGGGAGCGUAGACGGCAGUGCAAGUCUGGAGUGAAAGGCGGGGGCUCAACCCCCGGACUGCUCUGGAAACCGUAUAGCUUGAGUACUGGAGAGG